UCCUCUUCUCUUACCUCCUGUUCUUCUUCACUGAGAGGAUUUUAAGGAGUCAAUCGAAGAUGAUUUUCCCCCUCUUUUUCUUUUGUAUCAGUUUUAAUUUUCGUUUCUUUGUUUAAGAGAUGGUGGAGGUGUUGUUGCUGUUUGAGUUAAGAGGAAGAAGAAUCGAGAAGCCAGUGAGUUAGGGUUUUCUCCAGUUGGUUUGUUCUCUGAGUUUUGGUAGAACGAGGAUGGUAUCGAGUUGUAACCACUGAAGAUUAAGAGGGUUGUUGAUAAAUUGAUGAGAUGAAGCAGUUCUGGUGAAGAAUCACAAAAUCAGGUAAAUUAGGGUUCCUCAAUUUGAAUUUGUUUCUUGUAUAUUGGAUUAUAAUUGGUGAAAUCUGAGAUGGGUAUUGUUUGAAUUGAAAUUGUAUUGAUUAGGAAGAGUUUAAAUUUAUUUUCUUUGAGAAUUAUGGUUUUUCCCUGUUCUUCCCCAAAUCAGUAAAUUAAGGUUGGUUGAAAAGGUACCGAGUAAAAAAAAAAGGUUGGUUGAAAAGGGAAAUGGUUCUGUGGUGAAGGAAUUUGAAAAUCAGGAAGGGGGUUGUUAGAUUUAAGUUCUGUAGUUUAGGGUUUUGGUUGGAUAGUGACAUAGAAGAUGGUUCUAACGGAAAUUGGAAAAGAUGUGGUUGUUUUUAGGUUGACUUAGAGUAGAAGUUUAUGGUUAAAGAGAUGGAUUAUCUGUAGUCAUGUCUGGUUGGUUGUGUGUGAUGAAGUAGAAAAAGGUACAGGUCUUGUGAUAUUCUCAGAAAAUCUUGUGGUUGCAGAAGCGAGAUUUCAUUAUUUGGAGGAAUUGCAUGAAACGAGAUUUCACAAUUAAUGGGUUGAUGCUUGAUCCAUAUGCAAAUGUUGUCUAUGACUAUGUUGGAGGCAUGAAAGAUUCUAAUGAAGCUAAAGAGUGCUUGCGUCUCUUUUGGUUUCUUCUCCCUUGAACUAGGUCGGAUGUAGUUGUUUGUGCUUUUCUCAUCUUAGUUAUUUUGCUCUAUAGGUUUCGACCGUGAUACCUACAGAGUACAUAUGUUUCUUUUCAGGGGGAUUGUGGUAACUAUUGUAUUCUCCUUCUUGUAUUGUUCAUUAACAGUGGGUUUGAUGUAUUUAUAACCCCUGUCUCUGUUACACCAUGUUUACACAUCUGCCGAAUGAUUAGCACCUAAUGACAGUAUGUUGAUUUCCAAAGCUUGCAUUCUAUAGGUAAUCAGAAUUGUAGCUCUCUUAGGGGUCCAUCUUAUGAAGGAAACAUUAUUUUUUUUUGAAAAAAUUGUAUUGCUCCAUACUGAGACUUGAAAAAGUUUUCAGGACACUUUACUACCAUGCUUAUCCUCAAGUUUGGCUUUAGCAAUGCCACACUAGGCACCUCAUGGAAAUGAAUUACACGCUGGCGUAUGGAUAUGCAGAAAAGCCUCUGUUAGGCUACUUUGGAAGGUUUGGCUCCUGGAGAUGCUUCCUUAUUUUAACACUGGGUCCAUGGGUCAUUUGUUAACUCAAGAGUACAUAGGUCAUUAUUUGCUAAGCUGGAUUAAUUUUUGGCGCCUAAUAGGCCAUGCCUUCAGAGCUUAUGCCUGCUAUAACAAGUAUCUGGAACAGGUCCUGAUGAGGAAGGGAGAAGCAAAGUCGCAAGAUGAUAAAUGUCAUCAUGGAACUUAAACAAGAACCACUAGCUCCACAGAUGACCCAUCUUUUGUUCUUUUUUUUCUUGUUUUCAUGCCAUCAGGUGUGUUCUUAUCAUGUCUCAAACUUUCCACAGGCAUUUUGGAUGUUGAUAAUCUUAGUUACCAGGUUUUUUAACUAUCUGGGUGCUGUUCUGUUGCCCAGAUUUAUGAUUUUUAAACAGUUAAACAUCUUACUGCCGGAUAUGUAAGUUUUUAUGGUGUAACAAUGUAAAAAUUUGUUAUGAAUGGUAUAAGUUUUUGGUUCAGUGGGAAUAAAAGCUUCUUAA